rnacentral:rRNA from 1 species
AUAUUCCCGUACCGAUCUGUAAUGCGAUGGGGGGACGGAGAAGGUUAGCUCAGCCGGGUGUUGGACGUCCCGGUUUAAGCGUGUAGGCGUGCUGCAUAGGCAAAUCCGUGCGGCUUAGCCAAGGCGUGAUGACGAGGAUCUUCGGAUCUGAAGUGAGUGAUACCCUGCUUCCAGGAAAAGCCUCUAGGCUUCAGUUACAGAUUGACCGUACCGCAAACCGACACAGGUGGGCAGGAUGAAAAUUCUAAGGCGCUUGAGAGAACUCAGGAGAAGGAACUCGGCAAAUUGAUACCGUAACUUCGGGAGAAGGUAUGCCUCGGUAGCGUGAAGCCCCUGCGGGUGGAGCGUGAUGAGGUCGCAGAGAAUCGGUGGCUGCAACUGUUUAAUAAAAACACAGCACUCUGCAAAGGCGAAAGCCGACGUAUAGGGUGUGACGCCUGCCCGGUGCCGGAAGGUUAAGUGAUGGGGUGCAAGCUCUUGAUCGAAGCCCCGGUAAACGGCGGCCGUAACAAUAACGGUCCUAAGGUAGCGAAAUUCCUUGUCGGGUAAGUUCCGACCUGCACGAAUGGCGUAAUGAUGGCCACACUGUCUCCUCCUGAGACUCAGCGAAGUUGAAAUGUUUGUGAAGAUGCAAUCUCCCCGCGGCUAGACAGAAAGACCCCAUGAACCUUUACUGUAGCUUUGCAUUGGACUUUGACGGGACUUGUGUAGGAUAGGUGGGAGGCUGUGAGGCGUGGUCGCCAGAUCGCGCGGAGCCAACCUUGAAAUACCACCCUGGUGUCGUUGAGGUUCUAACCUUGGUCCGUGAAUCCGGAUCGGGGACCGUGCAUGGCAGGCAGUUUGACUGGGGCGGUCUCCUCCCAAAGAGUAACGGAGGAGUACGAAGGUCUUCUAAGCACGGUCGGACAUCGUGCUCAUAGUGCAAUGGCAAAAGAAGACUUGACUGCGAGACCCACAAGUCGAGCAGGUGCGAAAGCAGGUCAUAGUGAUCCGGUGGUUCUGUAUGGAAGGGCCAUCGCUCAACGGAUAAAAGGUACUCUGGGGAUAACAGGCUGAUUCCGCCCAAGAGUUCAUAUCGACGGCGGAGUUUGGCACCUCGAUGUCGGCUCAUCACAUCCUGGGGCUGUAGCCGGUCCCAAGGGUAUGGCUGUUCGCCAUUUAAAGUGGUACGUGAGCUGGGUUUAAAACGUCGUGAGACAGUUUGGUCCCUAUCUGCCGUGGGCGCUGGAUAUUUGAGGGGACCUGCUCCUAGUACGAGAGGACCGGAGUGGACGGAUCUCUGGUGUACCGGUUGUCACGCCAGUGGCAUCGCCGGGUAGCUAAAUCCGGAAGAGAUAAACGCUGAAAGCAUCUAAGCGUGAAACUCGCCUCAAGAUGAGAUAUCCCGGGGGUUCAACCCCCCUGAAGGGUCGUCCAAGACCAGGACGUUGAUAGGUCGGGU